rnacentral:rRNA from 1 species
GACGAACGCUGGCGGCGUGCUUCACACAUGCAAGUCGAACGAAGUGGCGAACGGGUGAGUAACGCGUAAUCAACCGGCCCUUCAGAGGGGCACAACAGUUGGAAACGACUGCUAAUACCUCAUACUGCAGGAGGUGAUUGCGUCUGAUUAGCUAGUUGGAGGGGUAACGACCCACCAAGGCGAUGAUCAGUAGCCGGUCUGAGUGGAUGACCGGCCCCAUUGUGACUGAGACACGGCCCAGACUCCUACGGGAGGCAGCAGUGGGGAAUCUUCCGCAAUGGACGAAAGUCUGACGGAGCAACGCCGCGUGAGUGAUGACGGCCUUCGGGUUGUAAAGCUCUGUUAAUCGGGACGCGGUACCGGAAUAGAAAGCCACGGCUAACUACGUGCCAGCCGCCGCGGUAAUUC